UACAGAGGUCCCGAGCGUUGUUCGGAUUCAUUGGGCGUAAAGGGUGCGUAGGUGGCGGGGUAAGUCAGGUGUGAAAUUUCGGAGCUUAACUCCGAAACUGCAUUUGAUACUGCCUUGCUUGAGGACUGGAGAGGAGACUGGAAUUUACGGUGUAGCAGUGAAAUGCGUAGAGAUUGGGAAGAACACCGGUGGCGAAAGCGCUCUGCUGGACCACAACUGACACUCACAGGACGAAAGCUAGGGGAGCGAAAGGG
rnacentral:rRNA from 1 species